rnacentral:lncRNA from 1 species
AGAAAAACUGUGGUCCUGACAGUGGGUCUUCUGGAAGCCCUUCUGAAGGUUUUACAACCUCCAAAUGGUAAAGAGAAGCCCAGCUGCUUAGCUGCUUUAGUGUGGUUAAACAAGCAGGUAUUUAUCCAAUAUGUUUUUAUUCACCCCUCUGCCUUGCCCAAACCUUGGACAUUCUGCAUUUUCUCUUGUUUUCUUCUCCUUUUGUCUGGGCUCUGUUGCCUAUUUAUACUCUUUGCCUGUUACAUUGCUCUCCUUCCCUAAUUUGAGUGUGUGCUUGAAACCUCUUGUCAAACUACCCUGUAGAGUGGUCCUGUUGAUUUAUAGGUCCUAGUCAACACCAAGCUUUAUCAAACUUUCUGAUCUUUGCUGGGCUGCAAGUUGGAAGUUCAGUUUGCGUUUCUUUACUUUUUGAGUAAAGUAGAACAUUUUGUACAAGCCAUUUGCAGGUCAUUUUCUGGGAGCCAACUGUUCAUGUUCCUCACCCAACAGUUGUAUGUUCUAACAACCUUUGGCUUUUAUAUUUGUAUUUAACAGAAGAGGGAUUUUGUAGGGAUAGGAGCAGUGAGAAGGGAAGACAGACUGAGGGGCAAUUGGGGGUUCUUAUUGAGCUCUUUGGUUGAAAGAAACAAGAAAUCAGCUUAUCUUAGUUCUUGGAGGGCUUGUCCUUCUUUGGAGAUAAGAAAAGAACCUUAAAGAUGUAGACUGUGGGGUUGUGGCUGUGGCUCAGUGGUAGUGUACUUGCCUGGCAUGUGUGAGGCACUGGGUUCGAUUCUCAGCACCACAUAUUUUAUUUAAAAUAAAGGUCUAUCAACAAUGAAAAACAUUAAAA